rnacentral:rRNA from 1 species
UACGUAGGGUGCAAGCGUUAAUCGGUAUUACUGGGCGUAAAGCGUACGCAGGCGGCUUUGCAAGACAGGUGUGAAAUCCCCGGGCCUAACCUGGGAACUGCAUUUGUGACUGCAUGGCUAGAGUCUGUCAGAGGGGGGUGGAAUUCCACGUGUAGCAGUGAAAUGCGUAGAGAUGUGGAAGAACACCGAUGGCGAAGGCAGCCCCCUGGGAUGAGACUGACGCUCAUGUACGAAAGCGUGGGGAGCAAACAGG